UAUAUACAUAUACAUAUUUUCUGUUAACACUCUGCUUCUCACCCCUUCCUCCGCUGCAAACUCCGGCAGUUACUUCCUCUUCCCCACCCUUCACUCUCCUCUUUUUCUGGAAUCUUCUAGUACCCUUUAUAAGAGUGAUAUAAGAGUUUGAAAGAGUCGUGUAAAGAUGGCAAAUUCACCCAUACCUGGUAUCUUGGAGAAGAUGACGGGGAAGGAUAAAGAUUACCGAUAUAUGGCAACUUCUGACCUAUUGAAUGAAUUAAACAAGGAGGGGUUUAAACUGGAUAGCGACCUUGAGUUGAGAUUGUCUAAUAUUGUUCUACAGCAACUAGAUGAUGCAGCUGGUGAUGUGUCUGGAUUGGCUGUCAAAUGUCUUGCUCCCCUGGUGAAGAAAGUCCAUGAGGCACAGGUACUGGCGAUGACUGAUAAGCUAUGUGAUAAGUUACUCAACGGGAAAGAUCAGCAUCGUGAUAUUGCAAGCAUAGCUCUGAAGACAAUUUUCUCUGAAGUCCCUACCUCAUCUGUUGCACAAUCAGUUCUUAUUUCAGUUUCUCCGAAGUUAAUAGGAGGAAUAACAAGCCCGGCAAUGAAGACAGACAUAAAAUGUGAAUGUCUUGAUAUCUUAUGCGACAUACUGCAUAAGUUUGGGAAUCUGAUGACGUCAGAUCAUGAAGUCCUGUUAGGUGCGCUAUUGCCUCAAUUAAGCUCCAAUCAAGCUAGUGUUAGAAAGAAGACUGUAUCAUGUAUUGCUUCACUUGCCUCAAGCCUAUCAGAUGACUUGUUAGCAAAGGCCACAACUGAAGUUGUACGGCUUUUAAAGAAUAAAGGAACAAAGCCUGAGUUGACCCGUACAAAUAUUCAGAUGAUUGGGGCUUUAAGCCGUGCUGUGGGUUAUCGCUUUGGUCCACAUCUUGGAGAUACGGUUCCGAUUCUUAUUCAAUAUUGCAUGAAUGCAUCAGAAAAUGAUGAGGAGCUUCGUGAGUAUAGCUUGCAGGCACUGGAAAGCUUUCUACUUAGAUGCCCAAGGGACAUUUUCUCUUACUGUAAUCAAAUAUUACAUCUUUCUUUGGAAUAUCUUAGUUAUGAUCCAAAUUUCACUGAUAACAUGGAAGAGGAUACUGAUGACGAAGUCCAUGAUGAUGAAGAGGAUGAUGAUAGUGCCAACGAAUAUACAGAUGACGAAGAUGUUAGCUGGAAAGUUCGAAGAGCUGCUGCAAAGUGCCUAGCAGCACUAAUUGUUUCUCGUCCUGAGAUGCUCUCAAAUCUAUAUGUUGAGGCUUGUCCGAAGUUGAUUGAUAGGUUUAAAGAGAGAGAAGAAAAUGUCAAGAUGGAUGUUUUUAACACUUUCAUUGAGUUGCUACGUCAAACAGGAAAUGUCACGAAGGGGCAGAUUGACAUUGACAAGUUAAGCCCCAGAUGGUCAUUGAAGCAAGAAGUUCCCAAGAUAGUUAAAUCUAUUAAUAGGCAGCUGCGUGAAAAAUCUGUCAAGACAAAGAUUGGCGCCUUCUCUGUUCUGAAAGAACUUGUUGUUGUUUUGCCUGACUGCCUUGCUGACCACAUUGGAUCCCUAGUUACUGGAAUAGAGAAAGCACUUUGUGAAAAAUCCUCAACAUCAAACCUGAAGAUUGAAGCUCUUGUAUUUGCAAGAUUAGUAUUAUCAUCUCAUUCUCCAUCUGUUUUUCACCCAUACAUUAAGGCCAUCUCUGCUCCUGUUUUAUCUGCUGUUGGUGAACGUUAUUACAAAGUUACGGCUGAAGCAUUAAGAGUAUGUGGGGAACUUGUUCGAGUUGUGCGCCCAAACAUUAAGGCUCCUGAUUUUGAUUUUAAACCUUAUGUUCAUCCAAUAUAUAAUGCUAUCAUGUCACGUUUGACAAACCAAGAUCAAGACCAGGAGGUUAAAGAAUGUGCAAUCUCUUGUAUGGGACUUGUUGUUUCAACUUUUGGCGAUCACCUCACUUCGGAAUUACCUGCAUGCCUUCCUGUUCUCGUGGAUCGAAUGGGAAAUGAGAUAACCAGACUUACUGCUGUUAAGGCUUUUGCAGUUAUAGCUGCAUCUCCACUGCACUUAGACCUUUCAUGUGUACUAGAGCAUGUUAUUGUGGAGUUAACUGCAUUUUUACGGAAGGCUAAUCGAGCGCUAAGGCAGGCUACACUGGGUACUCUAAACACACUUAUCGUUGCUUAUGGUGAUAAAAUUGGUUCUGCCGCUUAUGGAGUUAUCAUUGUAGAACUUUCAACUUUGAUCAGUGAUUCAGACUUGCAUAUGACGGCUCUUGCUCUGGAACUCUGCUGUACCUUGAUGUCAGACAGAAGGUCUGCUCCAACUGUUGGUUCGACUGUCAGGAAUAAAGUUCUUCCCCAGGCCCUGGCUUUGGUCAAAAGUUCAUUGCUUCAAGGACACGCCCUCUCGGCUUUGCAAAACUUUUUUGCUACUCUUGUGUAUUCUGCAAACACUAGUUUUGAAGCUCUGCUGGAAUCUCUUCUUUCAACUGCUAAACCAUCUCCUCAAUCUGGCGGCAUUGCAAAACAAGCUUUGUUUUCCAUAGCACAAUGUGUUGCUGUACUUUGCCUUGCUGCAGGUGACCACAAAUGUUCAUCUACAGUAAAAAUGCUCACAGAAAUCUUGAAAGAUGAUAGCAGUAGUAAUUCGGCCAAGCAACACUUAGCAUUGCUAUGUUUGGGUGAAAUUGGGCGAAGAAAAGAUUUGAGCUCACAUGCACACAUAGAAAACAUAGUUAUUGAAUCCUUCCAGUCUCCAUUUGAAGAGAUAAAAUCUGCAGCCUCUUAUGCACUGGGCAAUAUUGCUGUUGGAAAUCUACCCAAGUACUUGCCAUUUAUCCUGAACCAGAUUGAUAAUCAACAGAAAAAACAAUAUUUGCUGCUCCAUUCUUUGAAAGAGGUGAUAGUAAGACAAUCUGUAGAUAAAGCAGAAUUUCAAGAUUCUAGUGUUGAAAAGAUACUCAACCUGCUAUUCAACCACUGUGAAAGUGAGGAAGAGGGUGUCCGGAAUGUGGUAGCAGAGUGUCUUGGAAAAAUUGCUUUGAUUAAGCCUUUAAAACUUGUUCCUGCUCUAAAGGAGCGAACAAGAAGCCCUGCUGCAUUCACCAGAGCAACAGUAGUGGUUGCUGUGAAAUAUUCUAUAGUUGAAAGACCAGAGAAGAUUGAUUCGGUCCUGUACCCAGAGAUUUCCUCGUUUCUCAUGCUUAUAAAGGAUCAGGACAGGCAUGUUAGACGUGCAGCUGUUUUGGCAUUGAGUAUAGCUGGUCAUAACAAGCCAAACCUCAUCAAGGGCCUUCUUCCAGAACUUUUGCCACUUCUUUAUGAUCAAACUGUUAUUAAGAAAGAACUGAUUAGAACAGUCGACCUUGGUCCUUUUAAGCAUACAGUUGAUGAUGGCCUUGAAUUGCGGAAGGCAGCUUUUGAGUGUGUAGAUACAUUACUAGACAACUGCCUUGAUCAGUUGAACCCUUCCUCUUUCAUUGUGCCGUACCUUAUUUCUGGUCUUGAUGAUCAUUAUGAUGUUAAGAUGCCUUGCCAUCUUAUCCUUUCAAAACUUGCCGACAAGUGUCCAUCGGCUGUAUUAGCAGUUUUAGAUUCAUUGGUGGACCCUCUUCAGAAAACUGUUAACUUCAAGCCCAAACAAGAUGCUGUAAAGCAAGAAGUUGAUCGCAAUGAAGACAUGAUCAGGAGUGCACUUAGAGCUAUUGCAUCUUUGAAUCGUAUAAGUGGAGGUGAUUGCAGCCACAAGUUCAAGAAUCUCAUGGCUGAAAUAGCGAAAUCAAAGCCCUUAUGGGAAAAGUAUUGUUCCAUCCGCAAUGAGUAAAGAUUGAUCUAAAUUCGAGAUAUGGGAGUGCAUACCCAGUGAGAUGGACAAAUUGAGAACGUCCCCCGGGCUUGAAUGAAUGUUAUAUGGAGUUGCAGAAUAUUAUGAUUGGGUGCAGCUUCUCACUUAUAGGGAUCAGUCAUCUUCCCCAAGAUCAUUAUAUUGGACACCCUGGGCUUCUUGUGAACUAUGGACCUAAUGUGGCUUGUAUUGUACAUAGGGUCCAGAGUCUACAUACUUCCUAUGGUUUUUGCUUGUACUUUAGUUAGAAUGUCUAUUUUUUCUGAAUCUUUUCUUACAUUACUUGUAACAUCAAGGUUAAUGGGUGGUUAAGGAGAAACAUCAUAUUCGUUGCCAUAGUUGUUUGCAGAUGCUACUAAUGUUUCGAGAUAAUAUUAUGGGAUGGAUCUUUGUUUUCA